AUACCCACUCUGUCCAAUUUGUUUGGCCAGUAGGUUGCUUGGGGUGUGACAUGAAAAUUCUUCAAACUGGACUUGACAUGUACAGUGGCAAAAGAUGCUAUUUCAAGGUAUGUUAGACGAAUUGUUUUUGAAAGAGGACUCAUUGUAGAUCCAGAUCAGGGGGAGUUUCUCUGCCCUGUGGGAACCAUGGACUUGCAAAUUCAGCAUUGCCUGCAGUACCUGGAGAUUCUCAAAAGGUUUCUAGACCAGCAAUGGUUUCAACUGUCAGUUGGCCAUAUGCUACAGGCCAAUUAUCCUCUCUGCAAACAGGGAAACUGAUUUCCUUCGCUUUCGGGAAGCCUGGUCUCUUUUACAUAGUGCUGCUGAUGUUGCUGGGAGGAGUGAAAUCCUAAAAGCUUUUCCAAUGCAUCGAACUGGAAGGAUAAGACCAAAUCCUGAAUCCAUGUUUCGUGUACUAUCUGGAAUGUAUUUUCCAGGCAAACAGGAUAGGAUUUCAGGAUCUGCAAGGGUAAGCCACUCGGUAAUUAUGUGGGACACUCUUAAGUACUCCCUUAUUUCAGGAUCUACUGCUGGUCUGCUGCUGCUGCUGCCAGUGUGCUGCUGCAGAAUUUUGCUGGGUUGCUACUGCUGCUGCAAUGUUGCUGUGAAGCGGGCUGCUGCUAGAUGCUGGUCUGCUGCAAAUUUGGGUUGUUGUUAGCCCUAUGAAUUCAAUACAUAAUCGGGUAAUUAUUUUAUUUGUGUGCAGUACAUUGAUAGGACAGUAGAGGAUUGUUUCUUUAACUCUAUGUUUACCUCAACUCCUAGUUGGCCAGAAUGAUAUCUGAUUGAUUGUUCAACUUAAGAUUUGGCUUUUUAGAUUUUGUUCAGGUAAAUGAGGGAAUGUUGGAGAAGUGUCUUGAGGGUUUGGAUUUAGUUCUUAAGGAAUAAAAUUACGGGUAGAUUUUGAUAUGGUAGAUUUAUUGUGAUGGUGGCUUGGUUUUUGGGAACUAAAAUGGCAUUGAAUGGAACAGUUACAUAGAUGAUUUAGAUGGCCCAUUUCAAACGGAUCAUGUUGACUGAAAUUGGAAACUUCAGGGAUGGAAUUGACAAAAUUGGAACUUGACCAAAGUGACCUGAAACAACAAAAAUAUCAUAAUUAUGAAAAGAGAGUGUGGCAUACAUAAAGCCUGGACAUAUUUAUAAAAACUGAAAUCAAUGUUCUAGAUGAUGUUGAUCUGAGGUGCUAUUUUAGGGGUGGUGUGAAGAUGACAAAAACUGGAGAUUCAAGGUUGAAAGGUUACAUCCUAGUGCCAAAAGGCACAGAUUAGAUUCAAAAUGUAUUGGAUGAAUCCCAAAACCAGUAAUUCAACAUUUGUUAAAGAGUCUUAUAGUAAAAACUGAAAAAUCCAUGAACUUAUGCACAAACAUAACGUAACAUUUGGUGCCCAUAUAACAAAAACCACAAAUGAUCACAGAACAUACAUACUUUUCCGUCUACAAAUUCGGCUGGCAAAAAAUAAAACAUAUUCGGAAAAUACCUUUUUUUUAGUGUAACAAAUUAAAUUAAAAAAAUCCAUGUAAUGCUGACUAAACUCUUCAAAGUCUUGUCCCAACUACUUGGGGGUCAGCUACAAGAAUCCUGUUUUGCCAUUCUGCUUGUUUAAGGGGCAUAAUUCAGUUAAAACAUGAGCAUACCCUCAAUAGCAUUUCAAAUAUUUAUGUUUUUUUCCCCUUUAACAGAAUGAGAUUGUUUUACUAUUUCUCAGCCUUGUUAAACAUGACCUGAAGCUUCGUUUUGUUUUGCUGCAUUUGGUUUUUGUUUCACAGAAAA